GACACUUUGGCCGAGUGGUUAAGGCGGCGACCUGCUAAGCCGUUGGGCUCUGCCCGCGAGGGUUCGAAUCCCUCAGGUGUCG
rnacentral:tRNA from 1 species